rnacentral:rRNA from 1 species
UACGUAGGGCGCAAGCGUUGUCCGGAAUUAUUGGGCGUAAAGAGCUCGUAGGCGGUUUGUCGCGUCUGCUGUGAAAACCUAAGGCUCAACCUUGGGCUUGCAGUGGGUACGGGCAGACUAGAGUGCGGUAGGGGUGACUGGAAUUCCUGGUGUAGCGGUGGAAUGCGCAGAUAUCAGGAGGAACACCGAUGGCGAAGGCAGGUCACUGGGCCGUAACUGACGCUGAGGAGCGAAAGCAUGGGGAGCGAACAGG